AAUCAACGCUGGCGGCGUGCCUCAGACAUGCAAGUCGAACGCGAAAGUUUCCUUCGGGAAGCGAGUAGAGUGGCGUCCGGGUGAGUAACACGUAGGUAAUCUACCUUUGGGUGGGGAAUAACAACCGGAAACGGUUGCUAAUACCGCAUAAUGCAGCGGCACCACAUGGUGACAGUUGUUAAAGCGGGGGAUCGCAAGACCUCGCGCCUAAAGAGGAGCCUGCGGCGGAUUAGCUAGUGGUAAGGUAACGGCUUACCAAGGCAACGAUCCGUAGCCGGCCUGAGAGGGGCGGUCGGCCACACUGACACUGAAAUACGGGUCAGACUCCUACGGGAGGCAGCAGUCGGGAAUUUUGGGCAAUGGGCGAAAGCCUGACCCAGCAACGCCGCGUGAAGGAUGAAAUCCCUCGGGAUGUAAACUUCGCAAGAACAGGAAGAAUAAGUAGGGAC
rnacentral:rRNA from 1 species